UACGUAGGUGGCAAGCGUUGUCCGGAUUUACUGGGCGUAAAGAGCGCGCAGGCGGUCGUUCAAGUCGCGUGUGAAAGCCCCCCGGCUCAACUGGGGAGGGUCACGCGAUACUGAUCGACUCGAAGGCAGGAGAGGGUAGUGGAAUUCCCGGUGUAGUGGUGAAAUGCGUAGAUAUCGGGAGGAACACCAGUGGCGAAGGCGACUUCCUGGCCUGUUCUUGACGCUGAGGCGCGAAAGCUAGGGGAGCAAACGGG
rnacentral:rRNA from 1 species